rnacentral:rRNA from 1 species
GACGAACGCUGGCGGCGUGCUUAACACAUACAAGUCGAACGGUAAGGCCCCAGCUUGCUGGGGUACACGAGUGGCGAACGGGUGAGUAACACGUGGGUGACCUGCCCCGCACUUCGGGAUAAGCCUGGGAAACUGGGUCUAAUACCGGAUAGGACCGCACCGUGAGGGUGUGGUGGAAAGUUUUUCGGUGUGGGAUGGGCCCGCGGCCUAUCAGCUUGUUGGUGGGGUAAUGGCCUACCAAGGCGGCGACGGGUAGCCGGCCUGAGAGGGUGGACGGCCACAUUGGGACUGAGACACGGCCCAGACUCCUACGGGAGGCAGCAGUGGGGAAUAUUGCACAAUGGGCGGAAGCCUGAUGCAGCGACGCCGCGUGGGGGAUGACGGCCUUCGGGUUGUAAACUCCUUUCACCAUCGACGAAGGUUUUCUGACGGUAGAUGGAGAAGAAGCACCGGCUAACUACGUG